rnacentral:lncRNA from 1 species
GCGCAGGCAUUUCUUUUCUUAUUGACGUUGCUUGGUCAAUUAUUCGCCAUGGCAGCAGAAAAGAAAAAAGUGAAUUUUACUGAAGAAGAGAGAGCGCUUCUCAUGGACUUGGUUAAGAAGCAUCGCAAUGUUAUAGAAAAUAAAAAGACGGAUGCGGUGUCACUGACAUACAAGAAAAAAAAAAUGGAAACAGAUAGAAGAAGAGUUCAACAGCAAGAGCGACGUGCGGCCGCGCACCGAGCAGCAGCUACGCAAGUGCUGGGACAAUUUGAAAGAAAAGUGGCGCAGGGCCAAGGCAAUUGACACGAAGGAGUUGUUUCGAACUGAGAGUGCGCUGACAGACGAGCUGCAAAGAGUCGGCGCUGUGGCUUCACAUAUGUCGGUCCGCCUCGACAAUCCAUUCGACAGCGACCGGGCGCGGCACAAGGCUACUCACGACCAUAGCUGCACUCCAGCUGUGGCAGCACUGCUGGCACCCAUGCAGGCGGUUCCAGUCGCUCAGCUCACAGCUUCUAACCACGCCGAAGAUUUGGGCAGCCUUGCAGACACCCCAAGGGACCUGGAUAUGUUCGACCCGGAUGUACAAGACGCAGCAGCAAAUGAAGUCGUAUUUUCACAUCCAACACCAAUGCUUGAGCCAGCCUCGAAUGAUUCGAACGCACUUCAACAAAGCAGAAAAAUUUCCCACAGUAC